rnacentral:rRNA from 1 species
CCUACGGGAGGCAGCAGUGGGGAAUUUUGGACAAUGGGGGCAACCCUGAUCCAGCCAUGCCGCGUGAGUGAAGAAGGCCUUCGGGUUGUAAAGCUCUUUCGGCCGGGAAGAAAUCGCAUGGGUUAAUACCCUGUGCGGAUGACGGUACCGGCAUAAGAAGCACCGGCUAACUACGUGCCAGCAGCCGCGGUAAUACGUAGGGUGCGAGCGUUAAUCGGAAUUACUGGGCGUAAAGCGUGCGCAGGCGGUUUUGUAAGACAGGCGUGAAAUCCCCGGGCUCAACCUGGGAACUGCGCUUGUGACUGCAAGGCUAGAGUAUGGCAGAGGGGGGUGGAAUUCCACGUGUAGCAGUGAAAUGCGUAGAGAUGUGGAGGAACACCAAUGGCGAAGGCAGCCCCCUGGGCCAAUACUGACGCUCAUGCACGAAAGCGUGGGUAGCAAACAGGAUUAGAUACCCUGGUAGUCCACGCCCUAAACGAUGUCAACUAGGUGUUGGGUGGGUAAAACCAUUUAGUACCGGAGCUAACGCGUGAAGUUGACCGCCUGGGGAGUACGGCCGCAAGGUUAAAACUCAAAGGAAUUGACGG